GUAGUUGUGGCUAAGUGGUUAAGGUGAUGGACUAGAAAUCCAUUGGGGUGUCCCUUGCAGGCUCAAAUCCUGCCAACUACA